rfam:Stegodyphus mimosarum contig10207, whole genome shotgun sequence.
GCCUUCGUGGUGUAGUGGUCAGCACACUCGGCGCGUAGUAGAGAGAUGCAGGUUCGAGUCUCGGCGAGGGCA